rnacentral:tRNA from 1 species
AUUUCCUUAGUAUAUUAAGUAUGCCUGCCUUCCAAACAGGCGGUUCCACAAAGGAAGGAGAUA